rnacentral:rRNA from 1 species
GAUGAACGCUGGCGGCGUGCUUAACACAUGCAAGUCGAGCGGAAAGGCCCUUCGGGGUACUCGAGCGGCGAACGGGUGAGUAACACGUGAGUAAUCUGCCCUAGGCUCUGGGAUAGCCACCGGAAACGGUGAUUAAUACCGGAUACGACAACUUCCUGCAUGGGAUGGUUGUGGAAAGUUUUUCGGCCUGGGAUGUGCUCGCGGCCUAUCAGCUUGUUGGUGAGGUAAUGGCUCACCAAGGCUUCGACGGGUAGCCGGCCUGAGAGGGUGACCGGCCACACUGGGACUGAGACACGGCCCAGGCUCCUGCGGGAGGCAGCAGUGGGGAAUGUUGGACAAUGGGCGGAAGCCUGAUCCAGCAACGCCGCGUGAGGGAUGACGGCCUUCGGGUUGUAAACCUCUUUCAGCACAGACGAAGCGCAAGUGACGGUAUGUGCAGAAGAAGGACCGGCCAACUACGUGCCAGCCGCCGCAGUAAUAC